rnacentral:piRNA from 1 species
UGACCUCUCUUUGCCUCCUGGAGCCUCUA